UUAUAACUGACAGCCAAAAUCAAUGUUUGUUUUUAAGCAUUAAUUGCUUUUUAUAGAUUUCAAAUUUUCAGUAUUGCAUGAAAUUAGGGGCAUGGGCAGUAGACAAUUUAGUGAUGACAGUAUGCUGCUAAUAUGUGAUUUUUAUAAAGCUUUUAAGAGUAUAAAAAUAAAUAUCCAUAAAUCAAUAAAGCAUACCUGAUCAUGCAGGGGCCUGCUCCUAUCCCACAAGGGCUGCACUAGGCUUGCCAGGUAUUUGGUACCCUGGCUGGGACCUAGGCAUAGCAAGUAGCUGGUGGUACCAGGUUCCUGGCUGCCAAGAGCCUUGCCCCUUCAACCCUCUCUCCCAGCCCCAGCUCCUGCAGUGGCUGCCCAAGCUG